GGAACUGAAACAGUGGGAACCGGUUCUCAACAAGAACCGGGUUUCGACACCCAUCUCUACUCUUAACUAAAACAUUUUGUGUCUUCACUCAGGACAAAGUGGACGCUGGACUUCCAACAGCUAUAACAGUGUCGGGCGUCAUUGCUGUGGGAACAUCUCACGGUCUGGCUUUGGUCUUUGAUACCAACCAGGCCUUGCGGCUCUGUCUGGGUACCAAGACGACUGGAGCGGAGUUUGGCGCCGUCUCUGCCCUGAGCAUCAACCACGACUGCUCACGACUUCUCUGCGGCUUUGCCAAAGGACAGGUACGAGGACAAGAUAAAAUAGAC